AUGCACGCUGGCGGCGUGCCUAAUACAUGCAAGUAGAACGCUGAAGGCAGGAGCUUGCUCUUUCCGGAUGAGUUGCGAACGGGUGAGUAACGCGUAGGUAACCUGCCUGGUAGCGGGGGAUAACUAUUGGAAACGAUAGCUAAUACCGCAUAACAGUAGAUGUUGCCUGAUAUCUACUUAAAAGGUGCAAUUGCACCACUACCAGAUGGACCUGCGUUGUAUUAGCUAGUUGGUGAGGUAACGGCUCACCAAGGCGACGAUACAUAGCCGACCUGAGAGGGUGAUCGGCCACACUGGGACUGAGACACGGCCCAGACUCCUACGGGAGGCAGCAGUAGGGAAUCUUCGGCAAUGGACGGAAGUCUGACCGAGCAACGCCGCGUGAGUGAAGAAGGUUGUCGGAUCGUAAAGCUCUGUUGUAAGAGAAGAACGAGUGUGAGAGUGGAAAGUUCACACUGUGACGGUAUCUUACCAGAAAGGGACGGCUAACUACGUG
rnacentral:rRNA from 1 species